GUGCCAGGGCGGCAUGCUAUACAUGCAAGUCGAGCGGAUUGAUGGGAGCUUGCUCCCAUCAGUCAGCGGCGGACGGGUGAGUAACACGUGGGUAACCUGCCUGUAAGACUGGGAUAACUCCGGGAAACCGGGGCUAAUACCGGAUAACUCAUUUCCUCGCAUGAGGAAAUGUUGAAAGAUGGCUUCUUGCUAUCACUUACAGAUGGACCCGCGGCGCAUUAGCUAGUUGGUGAGGUAACGGCUCACCAAGGCGACGAUGCGUAGCCGACCUGAGAGGGUGAUCGGCCACACUGGGACUGAGACACGGCCCAGACUCCUACGGGAGGCAGCAGUAGGGAAUCUUCCGCAAUGGACGAAAGUCUGACGGAGCAACGCCGCGUGAGUGAUGAAGGUUUUCGGAUCGUAAAACUCUGUUGUUAGGGAAGAACAAGUACCGUUCGAAUAGGGCGGUACCUUGACGGUAGCUAGCCAGAAAGCCACGUUUAUCUACGUGCCAGCGGCCGCGGUGAUACGUUGUGGCAAGUGUUGUCCGAAUAAUUGGGUGUCAAGCGCGUGCUGGGCGCUCUCAAAAACUCAUGUAAAAUCCAUCCGUC
rnacentral:rRNA from 1 species